rnacentral:rRNA from 1 species
ACGUGAGGCUAAUCCCUAAAUCCUCUCUCAGUUCGGAUUGGAGUCUGCAACCCGACUCCAUGAAGCUGGAUUCGCUAGUAAUCGCGCAUCAGCCACGGCGCGGUGAAUACGUUCCCGGGCCUUGUACACACCGCCCGUCAAGCCAUGAAAGCCGGGGGUACCUGAAGUGCGUAACCGCGAGGAGCGCCCUAGGGUAAAACUGGUGAUUGGGGCUAAGUCGUAACAAGGUAAC